GGGGGUAUGGCGCAAUUGGCUAGCGCAGUGGAUUCCAAAUCCGAAGGUUCAGGGUUCAAGUCCUUGUGCCCCCG
rnacentral:tRNA from 1 species